rnacentral:tRNA from 1 species
UUGAUAAGAAGCCAAAAUAGAGGCAUAUUUCUGUUAAAAAUAUAAUUGAAUUUCUGUUCCUAUCAAG